UGGUGGAGUGAUUUGUCUGGUUAAUUCCGUUAACGAACGAGACCUUAACCUACUAAAUAGUCGCUAGAAUCGCUUGAUUCUUGAUUGGCUUCUUAGAGGGACUUUGCGCGUCUAGCGCAAGGAAGUUUGAGGCAAUAACA
rnacentral:rRNA from 1 species